rnacentral:rRNA from 1 species
CAGCAGCCGCGGUAAUACAGAGGGUGCGAGCGUUAAUCGGAUUUACUGGGCGUAAAGCGUGCGUAGGCGGCUAAUUGAGUCGGAUGUGAAAUCCCCGAGCUUAACUUGGGAAUUGCAUUCGAUACUGGUUAGCUAGAGUGUGGGAGAGGAUGGUAGAAUUCCAGGUGUAGCGGUGAAAUGCGUAAAGAUCUGGAGGAAUACCGAUGGCGAAGGCAGCCAUCUGGCCUAACACUGACGCUGAGGUACGAAAGCAUGGGGAGCAAACAGGAUUAGAUACCCGUGUAGUCCCUGUCUCUUAUAC